GGCCGAGCAGCAGGACUUUCCGCGCUGAACGGUACGCAGCUUGCGCAUAUCGAAAUUAUCACUUCCGCGACCGACUGAACACGCGAAUGUUUGCCCAAACGAUCACGGCNNNGGGAGCUGAUGAGAGCCGCGUCGUGAACACCGUGCUGCGCCUAGGUUCGCCGCCUGGUGUGGGAGCUGGGAGAGAGACGGUGGGAGCCGUCCCUUAUCGAUGAGACGUCAUCCUUUCCGGAAAUCGGGCCUGUCUUGAAUUGCGCCUCGGUGUGGCGGGG
rnacentral:misc_RNA from 1 species